AUUGAACGCUGGCGGCAGGCUUAACACAUGCAAGUCGAGCGGGGGAAGGUAGCUUGCUACUGGACCUAGCGGCGGACGGGUGAGUAAUGCUUAGGAAUCUGCCUAUUAGUGGGGGACAACAUCUCGAAAGGGAUGCUAAUACCGCAUACGUCAUACGGGAGCAAGCAGGGGAUCUUCGGACCUUGCGCUAAUAGAUGAGCCUAAGUCGGAUUAGCUAGUUGGUGGGGUAAAGGCCUACCAAGGCGACGAUCUGUAGCGGGUCUGAGAGGAUGAUCCGCCACACUGGGACUGAGACACGGCCCAGACCCCUACGGGAGGCAGCAGUGGGGAAUAUUGGACAAUGGGGGGAACCCUGAUCCAGCCAUGCCGCGUGUGUGAAGAAGGCCUUAUGGUUGUAAAGCACUUUAAGCGAGGAGGAGGCUACUUUAGUUAAUACCUAGAGAUAGUGGACGUUACUCGCAGAAUAAGCACCAGCUAACUCUGUGCCAGCAGCCGCCGUAA
rnacentral:rRNA from 1 species